UGCAGGAUGGUACAUGGGUAGUACACAAGCUUGCCUAAGCUUGAGAUAGAAGGUUCGAUUCCUUCUCCUGCAA
rnacentral:tRNA from 1 species